rnacentral:rRNA from 1 species
UGGGGAAUUUUGGACAAUGGGCGAAAGCCUGAUCCAGCAAUGCCGCGUGUGUGAAGAAGGCCUUCGGGUUGUAAAGCACUUUUGUCCGGAAAGAAAUCCUUGGCUCUAAUACAGUCGGGGGAUGACGGUACCGGAAGAAUAAGCACCGGCUAACUACGUGCCAGCAGCCGCGGUAAUACGUAGGGUGCAAGCGUUAAUCGGAAUUACUGGGCGUAAAGCGUGCGCAGGCGGUUUGCUAAGACCGAUGUGAAAUCCCCGGGCUCAACCUGGGAACUGCAUUGGUGACUGGCAGGCUAGAGUAUGGCAGAGGGGGGUAGAAUUCCACGUGUAGCAGUGAAAUGCGUAGAGAUGUGGAGGAAUACCGAUGGCGAAGGCAGCCCCCUGGGCCAAUACUGACGCUCAUGCACGAAAGCGUGGGGGAGCAAACAGGAUUAGAUACCCUGGUAGUCCACGCCCUAAAACGAUGUCAACUAGUUGUUGGGGGAUUCAUUUCCUUAGUAACGUAGCUAACGCGUGAAGUUGACCGCCUGGGGAGUACGGUCGCAAGAUUAAAACUCAAAUGAAUUGACGGGGUCAUAGCUGUUUCCU